rnacentral:lncRNA from 1 species
UUGCAUUUGUAAUCCUAAACUGAAUAGGUUCUCUACCUCUUCUGAUUAGCUUGGGUAACCAUGAUAUACUGCUAGGUGUCACUCUUGGUUUGUGGAAGCCCUAAACGUGUAUAAACACUAAAGGGAGAAUUGAAAGUACGUUUCAAUUCACAAUCGAUUUUAAGAGUUUUAAUCGCCCACUGCCUCGUUAAAAGGAACCUAAU